GUUCCUGCAUGGAGGAAGGUCCAGUGUAUUGUCAGUGUUGAUGUGAAGUGUCAGAAAAAGUGACCUAAAAAUAGCAGAUUGUACGCAGAUAUGCACCCUGAUGCUCCAUGUUUAUUGUCUCUGUAGUUUUUAUAGAAAAUGUUCCUAGUUCACAAAUCAAAUGCAGAAUUUUGUGCCAGCAUUGCAAACAAAACUUGAUAUCUGAAAAUCGGUUUGCAUGCUUUAAUUAUACAUCACCUGCCACCAGCAGCAAAACAAAAGAUCCAAAUAUAAAUGAGCUAGUAAUUUUGCUUCUGCUGCGUGAAGUAGAACAGAAUGUAUGAUGUAACUGUGGUUUUAUUAAUUGACUUGAUGACUGCAGGCAAACAUUGGUUUUGUCAAUAGAUUUAACUCUGAUUUAGUAACAAGGAAGUACAGGUAUGUUUUUUGUUUCAAGCAACUAUUUAGAUGGAGCCCCUUUUUAAAGAUUACAGUAGCUAAUGUGCAUUUGCCAACACUUUUUAAUUUCAUUAAUUGGCAGUGAGUUUUUCACUUAUGUCUGUGACUUUGCCUACUUGCAUGUUUAAAUAUCCCAACUUUUCUGAUCAGCACACCUCACAAUUUUUUAAGUGUGUUUUCUAAAAAAAAGGUUUUAAAUCAGCAUUGUUGCCUUUGUUCAUCUCGGUUCCAGAUCAGAAUUGAAUUGCAUACUUUAGCUGUAGUAAUUUUUUCAUGCACAGCGCUCUGUGCAAUAAUAAAGCAAGGGACACCAUUUG